AGAGUUUGAUCMUGGCUCAGAUUGAACGCUGGCGGCAGGCCUAACACAUGCAAGUCGAGCGGUAGAGAGAAGCUUGCUUCUCUUGAGAGCGGCGGACGGGUGAGUAAUGCCUAGGAAUCUGCCUGGUAGUGGGGGAUAACGUUCGGAAACGGACGCUAAUACCGCAUACGUCCUACGGGAGAAAGCAGGGGACCUUCGGGCCUUGCGCUAUCAGAUGAGCCUAGGUCGGAUUAGCUAGUUGGUGGGGUAAUGGCUCACCAAGGCGACGAUCCGUAACUGGUCUGAGAGGAUGAUCAGUCACACUGGAACUGAGACACGGUCCAGACUCCUACGGGAGGCAGCAGUGGGGAAUAUUGGACAAUGGGCGAAAGCCUGAUCCAGCCAUGCCGCGUGUGUGAAGAAGGUCUUCGGAUUGUAAAGCACUUUAAGUUGGGAGGAAGGGCAGUUACCUAAUACGUAAUUGUUUUGACGUUACCGACAGAAUAAGCACCGGCUAACUCUGUGCCAGCCGCCGCGGUAAUWCAG
rnacentral:rRNA from 1 species